CUUUCUAAGGAAGGCGAAAGUAUCUGGAGAGCAGCGAUGCUAACACAAGGGGUUGAGAGCCAAGCGAAGCCCAAGAACUUGAUUGUUUGAGGCAAUAAGCACUCAAGAGUUAGGACAUUGAAAACUGAAUAUAAUCAAAGCAAAAACCGACACAAUCAAAGAACAGAUUGAAAAAAAGAGCGCCGAGAGAAGAGAGAAGCUCAACUUGAAUAGGUCAA
rnacentral:misc_RNA from 1 species